CCUACGGGAGGCAGCAGUAGGGAAUUUUCGUCAAUGGGCGCAAGCCUGAACGAGCAAUGCCGCGUGAACGAGGAAGGUCUUCGGAUCGUAAAGUUCUGUUGAAGGGGAAAAGGAGCGGAGAGAGGAAAUGGUCUCCGAUUGAUAUUACCCUUCGAGGAAGUCACGGCUAACUACGUGCCAGCAGCCGCGGUAAUACGUAGGUGGCGAGCGUUAUCCGGAAUGAUUGGGCGGAAAGGGUGCGUAGGCGGCCUGCUAAGUCUGGAGUGAAAGGUACCGGCUCAACCGGUACAGGCUCUGGAAACUGGCGGGCUAGAGAGCAGGAGAGGGCGGUGGAACUCCAUGUGUAGCGGUAAAAUGCGUAGAUAUAUGGAAGAACACCAGUGGCGAAGGCGGCCGCCUGGCCUGUUACUGACGCUGAGGCACGAAAGCGUGGGGAGCAAAUAGGAUUAGAUACCCCAGUAGUC
rnacentral:rRNA from 1 species